UACGUAGGGUGCAAGCGUUGUCCGGAAUUAUUGGGCGUAAAGAGCUCGUAGGCGGUCUGUCGCGUCUGCUGUGAAAACUCAGGGCUUAACCCUGAGCUUGCAGUGGGUACGGGCAGACUAGAGUGCGGUGGGGGAGACUGGAAUUCCUGGUGUAGCAGUGAAAUGCGUAGAUAUCAGGAGGAACACCGAUGGCGAAGGCAGGUCUCUGGGCUGACACUGACGCUCAUGCACGAAAGCGUGGGGAGCAAGCAGG
rnacentral:rRNA from 1 species